rnacentral:rRNA from 1 species
UACGUAGGGUGCAAGCGUUUGUCCGGAAUUAUUGGGCGUAAAGAGCUCGUAGGCGGUUUGUCGCGUCUGCUGUGAAAACCCGAGGCUCAACCUCGGGCCUGCAGUGGGUACGGGCAGACUAGAGUGCGGUAGGGGAGAUUGGAAUUCCUGGUGUAGCGGUGGAAUGCGCAGAUAUCAGGAGGAACACCAAUGGCGAAGGCGGCUCUCUGGGCAUUAACUGACGCUGAGGAGCGAAAGCAUGGGGAGCGAACAGG